UACGGGGGGUGCGAGCGUUGUCCGGAAUCACUGGGCGUAAAGGGCGCGUAGGUGGUUUGAUAAGGGUGUGGUGAAAGCCCGGGGCUCAACCCCGGGUCUGCCGUGCCGACUGUCAAACUCGAGGGCUGUAGAGGCAGACGGAAUUCCGGGUGUAGCGGUGGAAUGCGUAGAGAUCCGGAGGAAGACCGGUGGCGAAGGCGGUCUGCUGGGCAGUUUCUGACACUGAGGCGCGACAGCGUGGGGAGCCAAACAGG
rnacentral:rRNA from 1 species